AUUGAACGCUGGCGGCAGGCCUAACACAUGCAAGUCGAAUGGUAACAGGAAACAGCUUGCUGUUUCGCUGACGAGUGGCGGACGGGUGAGUAAUGUCUGGGAAACUGCCCGAUGGAGGGGGAUAACUACUGGAAACGGUAGCUAAUACCGCAUAACGUCGCAAGACCAAAGAGGGGGACCUUCGGGCCUCUUGCCAUCAGAUGUGCCCAGAUGGGAUUAGCUAGUAGGUGGGGUAACGGCUCACCUAGGCGACGAUCCCCAGCUGGUCUGAGAGGAUGACCAGCCACACUGGAACUGAGACACGGUCCAGACUCCUACGGGAGGCAGCAGUGGGGAAUAUUGCACAAUGGGCGCAAGCCUGAUGCAGCCAUGCCGCGUGUAUGAAGAAGGCCUUCGGGUUGUAAAGUACUUUCAGCGGGGAGGAAGGGAGUAAAGUUAAUACCUUUGCUCAUUGACGUUACCCGCAGAAGAAGCACCGGCUAACUCCGUG
rnacentral:rRNA from 1 species